CAACGAUAAAACUAAAAAUACAUUUUCUCGAGAAUGACUCCUAAAACCCAUCACUUUAUUUACAGAAGCCAAUCACUAAACAUGUUCAGUUUAUAUCGACUUCGUGUUUACCACCCACUGCCCCCACUGGAUACCUUGGAAAACUCUGAACACGAAGCUUCCAGAAGGUCAUCUUGCAGGCUCUAGGCUCUUCUAAACUUCUAAUUCAACCAAUAAUGGUUUACAUAUGCAAACGUAAAAACGCACAAGUUGUAACAAAUCUGCAGCAGACUUGUAGCAACGCUGUUCCAACAACUUGUCAACAGGAUGUGUUCGCACUACUUGUUCCCAGCUGGUUUUCAACAGCUUGUUGACAACUUGAUACAAGACUGUUGAGCUCAACAGACUUGUUACAAGUUGUUCCAACAACUUUGCUAUCGUCCUGCAAUUCAACAAUUUGUCAACAAGUUGUGAGUGACAACCUUGUAGCAACUUGAUAAAAUAACAGCCUUGUCACAACUUGUUGACAAGCUUGCUACAAGCCUGUUGCGAACACAGGGGAACCUUUUAAGCAAUUGGGCCUGAGAAAGUAAAUUUUGGCAAUGGGAAACAUAACUCAGAGACAGAGCUCGACGACUUGCGAUUUGAUAAAUAAAUUUUGGCCACAGAAAGGGAAAGUAGAUACGUAGAGUUGCAAGAAGAUAUACUUUUCAUGCCUUCCAAUGUGAAUGCUGCAUGACGUCUUGAAUUAAAACAUGAAACUACUGUAUGAUGUAUCGAAACAAGUUUCUAAAUUUGUUUUACUGUUACUGUUAGUGUAAGCGUAUCAGCGACCGGUCAAAAACAGAUUUUGUUUUGACCGAGCUAAAAUCAAGUUGACCGGUCAUUUUGACAGGAGACCUAUCUAAGUCAUCUCCCGUUAUUUUGAGCCCCGCAGCCAACAUUUGACACCCAUAAUAUGCACAUACAUGUAUAAUUGCAGACAGUAUACUAUAUAAAUAUAAUUGUUUGUUUAUGGCUUUGCCUAUACUGUGUGCACUGAAAGCAUUGUUUUGAACAUAUAGACAUGAUUGUAAUAUUGUAUAAUACAUGUAUUUAGAUUUUCCCAGAUGUUGACCUGGUCUUAAAGUGCAGGGAAGUAUCAAAUCCUUGGUAGAUCAAAUUAAAUCACAUAAGGCCAAAUAAAAAAAAUAGUUGGUUUCAGGUUUCACAGCCAUGUUUUAUAUGGGUAGGUAGGUCGGAAAAACAUUUUAUUUAAAAAAAUAUUUUGUCUCAAGUAUGCAAUAAAUAUAAGUUAAACUCUUAGUAUUUAUUGUUUUUACAUGUGUUUCGCGAAAAACAUGUUACAGUACAUGCAAGCCACACAUGUGUUUCGCGAGAAACAAACGCAUCAAGGCAUUUCCAUCUUUUUUCAGCCGUAGAUCCCAUGUCAGAAUACUGAGAAUAAUGUAAAACUAUGAUUUAACAGACUAGAUGAUGAUGAAAUUAUAAGCAAACAAAAUAAUUUGUAGACAAAUUAGUCUGAUGACUAUUUUUUUUUAGCUAUUUACGAAAGAAUCAUCUCUACUGGGAAUAAAAUUAUUAUGGUCGGUCAUAUUUUUGACAGGUCGGUCGGAAACCUGAAACCAACUAUUAUUUUUAUUUGGCCUAAACAAUCAAUUCAUUCUACGUCAUUGGUUCACAUUUCUUCACAGGACCU